rnacentral:rRNA from 1 species
CCUACGGGAGGCGGCAGUGGGGAAUAUUGCACAAUGGGGGAAACCCUGAUGCAGCGACGCCGCGUGAGUGAAGAAGUAAUUCGUUAUGUGAAGCUCUAUCAGCAGGGAAGAAAAUGACGGUACCUGAGUAAGAAGCCCCGGCUAACUACGUGCCAGCAGCCGCGGUAAUACGUAGGGGGCAAGCGUUAUCCGGAUUUACUGGGUGUAAAGGGAGCGUAGACGGCAGUGCAAGUCUGGAGUGAAAGGCGGGGGCUCAACCCCCGGACUGCGCUGGAAACUGGACGGCUGGAGUGCGGGAGAGGUAGGUGGAAUUCGUAGUGUAGCGGUGAAAUGCGUAGAUAUUAGGAGGAAC